rnacentral:lncRNA from 1 species
CCCUGAGGGGAAGCGGUCAGCGUAAGUCCCGGAUCCCCGCUCCGGAGCCGCCUCGUGGGAGCGGGGCAAGGAGAUCCAGGAGGGGUCUCGAAUCUGCCAUGGCGAACCGGCGAGUGGGGCGAGGCUGCUGGGAAGUGAGCCCGACCGAGCGGAGGCCGCCCGCGGGGCUGCGGGGCCCCGCGGCCGAGGAGGAGGCGUCUUCCCCGCCGGUCCUGUCUCUCAGCCACUUCUGCAGGUCUCCUUUCCUUUGCUUCGGGGACGUUCUCCUGGGAGCCUCACGGACGCUGUCUCUGGCCCUAGACAACCCUAACGAGGAGGUGGCAGAAGUGAAGAUCUCCCACUUCCCGGCCGCGGACCUGGGCUUCAGUGUGUCGCAGCGCUGUUUCGUGUUGCACCUAAAGAGAAAAUUGUUAUUUCUGUUAACUGGACACCACUCAAAGAAGGCCGAGUAAGAGAGAUUAUGACAUUUCUUGUAAAUGAUGUUCUGAAACACCAAGCUAUAUUACUAGGAAAUGCAGAAGAGCAGAAAAAGAAAAAGG